rnacentral:lncRNA from 1 species
UAAUACCUGGUAUAUUUGCAAUCAUUGUUCUAUCCUGAUAGUGAAUUUUCUGAAUUUAAUUGCAAUAUGUUCAUGUGUUAAUCCUUGCAGGUUACCUAGAAUGCAAGUCAUUUUAAGCAAAGGUUGAGAUCAUUUUUAAUUUGUUGUUUUAUAAUAAUUUGAAAUUUUUGAAGCUUAUCAAAGCAUCUUCGGAUUUGGUCUCUCCUGAAUUAUUUGAGAACAAGAUAGUGGAUGCCAUGAAAUUCCAGAUUCUUUGAGAAUGAGUAGAGGGGAUAGUGGGUGCUAUGAAUUCACUGGUUCUUCUUUCAGAGUAGGCAGCUUUUGACUCAGCCGUGAAGAAAUGGUCUGCUGUUAUGACGAAAAAUGGCUUCAGAAUAGGCAAUGGUAAAUAUCAUAUGACCUUGUGAAUAGUGGUUUAAAAUCAAUGUAGAAGAUUUUGGAAGAGAACUAAUGCUCUCUGACAGAUUUACACGUGAAGAUGGUAAUGAUACUUGCAAACUCAGUGCGCUUCUGAAAGAAGAUGAAUUGGUUGUGUGGGAGGAAGAAUCCUUAAGUUUUUUAAUCUUUCAUUGAGGGGACAGACAUCGUUUAAGGUUGCAAAUCUAAGAGCUGCUCUUUUCUUGUUCUUUUCACAAGUGUCUUCAUUAGUGAGCAUCCAUAAAAAGUAGUGAGCUAUUUCACUUGUGGCAACUACCAAUGAGAAACCUUUAUUAAAAUAUAAGGAGUAAAUUGUAAUUUACUUGUAAGUUUAAUAUGGGUGCAAUUGGCAGCUCAGUACCAUGUUUCCACUCUACCUCUUUGGAUUUGUGUUGUGAAAUGUAAGAUUACUUUAAACUUUGGUAGGCUGGCAAUAGCCAAUCAGCUAUGAAACCUUCCCUCAAGAAAUUCAUAAAAGUUGUGAAAUUUGAUUUUGAAGCCCUUUUUCUCCUUACCGGGAGUAGAAUAUAAAAUAUUUUAAAUUUAUUCGGAUAUAUUUAUUAUUAAAUUAAGUCUAUAAAUUUAAAAUUUAGAGAUAAAAGUUAUUUUUUAAUAAAUGAGUUGAUAAAAUAUAUUAAUUUUUUUUUAAUGAUGACCGUUCAAUUUCUCUAAUUUUCUUUAAAUAUCUAUUAAUGAAAAAAAGAAAAUAUAAAAAAUUUCCACAAAAUUGAUAUAAAUUUUUUUAAUCAUCCCAAAUAUAUUUUUUAAGAAAAUAAUUUAUUUUUAUAAUGUUAAAAAAUAAAGGGAUAAUAUGAUUUUUAAAAAUCAUAUUGUUUUUUAAAAAGUGAAAUUUUUUCUUUAAAAAUUAUUUAGAUUUUUUUUAUUAAUUUUGAGUCUUCAAAUGCUAAAAAAAUGCAAAAAAAAUAUUUUAUUGGAAAAAUGUUUUUUUUUCAAAACAAAUGAGCUUGACUUUGGUGUAUGUUAGAGCUGCUAUAUUAAAAAGGUAGCUCAUUAAAUAUGUUGGUUAGGAAUUAUUAAAAAUUAUUUAUUAAAUUAAUUUAAUAUAUUCUAAUCAUAAAAAUAUCAUAAUAAAUAAAUAAAGUUUCAAACUACAUUCUUUAAGAAAAUCUAAAAUAGUAAAUAUAUAGUAAAUUUUCAAUCACAAUCCUAAAUGUUUUCAUAUUUAAAUCACAAUCCUAAAUGUAUUUGCCUGUAAUAAUGGUGAUGUUAUAUAGCUAAAAGCUAAUUAGACAUGAUGUUAUCAUAAAAUAAUAUCACUUGGUGAGGGUUCAAUAAGUUAAUAUAUAGUUUCACUCAUUUCAAGUGAAAAUUCGAAUGUUACAAACAUUCAUUUUUUAAUAAGAAAUGUUACAUUUUUCUGAAUAAGUCGAAUUUUUAUAUAAAAUUACAAUUAACAUACACAAUUUAGUAAAUCUCUAUAACGCCUCUAAUUAUAGAAUUACUGAUCAAUGAGCUGAAAAAUUUUUUUAUCAAUGAGUCGGCUAUACCAUUGCCAGAUUUUAAAAAAUAUUAUAAUUGACUAUAUUUUCUUACAAAUAUAACAAUUAAUGAUAAAAAAAAUAAAAAUAUUUAAUUCUUAUAUAAUUACUCUUGAAUUCUAAGUAUUUGUUUAUAUUCAUCAUAUUCUCUAAGUUUAUUGAUUCAGUAAUUACCGUAGGCGUCAAUCACCCACAUUAUUUUUCUUGUAAAUUUAAUUCAUUACUGUAUAGCUCUAUUUUUCAAUUAUAUCAAAUGGUCUGUCUUGCUUAUUAAAAAAAUUAUGAAAUACAGUUUAAUUUUCUUUAGCAAAACUAUUUAAAGGUAAAUUAUAUUUUGAUUUUUAUAUUUUAACAUAAUUAACAGAUCAUUUCUAUAUUUUUAAAACUGAAUACUUAAAUUUAUCUAUAAUCAGUUUGUCCAAAUUUGAGAUCUCUCCAUUUAUUUAUUUAUUUUUUUUAAAUUGGAGGUUGGGGGAUUCGAACCUGAAAUCUUCUCAGAUUUACUCGGAUGCACUUACCACCAGGCUAAGCCUGUGAGUGUCUCUCUAUUUAAUUUUACAGUUAAAAGUGUAAAAAUAUCUUUAUUACUCUCUUUAAAUGGAUAAACUACACUUAAAUUUUUAAAUUUUAGCAAAAUUAAUGAAUCGAUUUCUAUAUUUUUGAAAUCGUACAUAUUAAAUCCCUCUAUAAUCAGUUCAUCCUCAUCUAUUAUAAUUUAAACAUUUUGAUCCUUCAUUUUUAUUUGAAAUAACACUAAAGUUCUCAUUAACUUUUAUUUAUAAUAUCUCAUUUAACUAAAUUUUAGCAUUUUUUUCUUUAAUUUUCAUUCAUUAAAAUAUUUUAAUAUUUAUAUUUUCAAAUUUUUUUAAAAAUACUUACAAUUUCAGCUAUUUUAAAUAGGUUAUAAACUUUAUAAAGAGUAUUUUAAGAAUCAAUCAUACUUUUAGAAAAAAUUUAACCAUCUACUAACUUUGAACUAAUAUUUAUAAUUGAUAGAAUAACUGUAAUUUUAGACGAAUUAAAUAUAUAGAGAUUUAAGAAUUUAAUUUAAAAAUUAUAAAGACUUAUUUAUCAAUUAUAUUAAAAUUUAAAAAUCAAAAUAUAAUUAUACAAUAUAAAAUUCUCACUUAUAUUAAAAAUAAUUUAAGUGUUUAUAUAAACAUUUUAAGUAUUUGAAAUAUUUAUUUUUUCUUUAAUCAGUUGAAUAAUGAAAUUAUAAAUGAAAAUAUUUUUUACUUAGAUAAAAUAAUUAUAUAAAAUUUUAAAUUGUAAAUUGAAAUUAAUCUAUUAAUUAUAUUAAAAUUUAAAAAUUAAAGUGUAAUUUUUUUAAAAUUUAAAUUAAAAUAUGUUGCUUUUAGGUAGCAGGCGGUGAUGGCGCGGACUUGCUUUGGAGCUCCGUUUGGGCCGCUAUUUUGUCUGAAUGGCUUAGGCAUGUGGCUACUGGCCUGUCCAAUUCCCUAUCUAACAUAAAUUAAAUAGUAAUAGUAAUUUUUCUCUCAUAUUUAAAUGGGAGAUAAUUUAAUCUUGAUUAUUGCUAUUAUUAAUAAAUUAUUUUUAUAUUUUCAAAAAUUUAUUGAAAUAUCUUUAAUUUUUAUCUUUCGUUAAUAAAAUAGUUAUUUUAUCAUUUUUUUCGUUAAAAAUAAAUAAAAUAUAAGAGAAAAUUUUUAAAAUCCAAUUUUACUCUUAAAUAAAACUCUUUAUUUAAUCAUUAAAUAUUACUAUUAUUAACAAGUCAGUCUCUACAUUUUUAAAAAUCUAUUAAAACGUUAUUAUCUUUUCUUAUAUCUAUUAAAAUAUUCUUAGCGUUUCUUUUUAUUAAUGAAAUAAUCUUUAUUUUUUCUCACAUCUAUUAAAACGUCCUUAUUGUUUACUUCCGUCAACAAAAUAGUCCUUACUUAUCAUUUCUUUCCUCAAUAAAAUAGUCCAUCCCUAUAUUUUCAUAAAUUGAUUAAAAUGUCGUUAUCUUUUUUCAUAUUUAUCAAAACGUCUUUAUUGUUUCUUUCCGUUAACGAAAUAAUCCUUAUAUUUUUUUCACAUCUAUUAAAAUGUUCUUAUCGUUUCUUUCCGUCAACAAAAUAGUCUCUCAUCUUCCUCUUUCUCUUCCUCCUCAAAAAAACAAGAAAAAAAAUGAAGAAAAAAAGAAGAUAAUGAUAAAGAAUAAGAAAAAGAAUAAAAAAUAAAGAAGAAGAAAAAGAAAAAUGAGAAGAAGACGAUGAUGAUGAAGAAAAAGAAUAAAAGGAAAAAUUACUUUCUCCUUUUUAAAAAAGAAGAAUAAAAAGAAAAAUUAAAAUAGAAUCAAAAAAGAAAAAGAAAAAGAAGAAGAAUAAGAAGAAGAAGAUAAAGAACCGAUGAAGAAGAAGGAGAAGGAGGAAGACAAGAGGGAUAAUUUGAUUUUUUAUUAUAUUUUUAAUGGUAAAAAUAAAUGAAAUGAUUAUUUUAUUGAUAAAUAGAAAAGAUAAUGACGUUUUAAUAAGUUUCUAAAAUUGUAGGGAGUAAUAUCCAAAAAUUAAAUUAUAAAUCAACCUAAUUAAAUUAAUCAUAUUAAUAUGUCAAAAAUAAAUCAAAUGAAUUAUUAGAUUUUUAAGUAUGAAAUAUACAUAAUAAAUUAAUAAUUUAAAUAAACAAGAUACCAAAUUUUGAAUUUUAAACUAAACUAGUUUAUUUUUUUUUUAAAAAAUAUUAUUUUCAUUUCUCAUUUCUCUUUUAUAUAAUAUUAAAAAAUUAUUAUUUAAUUUUUAUAAUAUAAAAAAUUAUAAAUUAAUUUUUUUAAUUUAAAAAAUAUAAUAAAAUAUUUUAAAUAUUUUACUAAUUAAUUCUUCUAUUAACAUUUGUAAUAGAGAUAAAUUAAUUAAUAAUUUUUUUAAAAAUAUAAAAAAUUAAUUAAUUAAUUUUUUAAAAUUAUAAAAAUUAAAUAAUAAAAUUUUUAAAAAUAAAAAUUAAUAAAAUAAAUAAUCAGUAAAUAUUUUUAAAAUAUUAUAAUAUUUAUAUAUUUUUUUUAAAAUUAAAAAAUUUCUUUAUAGUAUAAAGAAUAAAUACUAAUUUUUGCAGUAAUAUUUUGUGAUUUUAAUUUGGCAUUGACUCGAUCAUGAAGUCUUUGUCUUUGUCGGUACUAAAUACAUAAAUUCUAAUUUAAUUUAUUUUAAUUUUAGUUUGUUUGGUGUGGGUCUGUGCACACAUCUCUGGUGUCCAUAAAGUCUCCAUAAAUACUCUCCGAGUCAGAUGUGACUCUGCCUGAACAGCCCUUAAAGCUUUAUAAUAAAAAUCAUACUAAAUUAAAUUUGUUUUUAUUUUAUUUUAUUUUUUAUUUUUUAUUAUUUUACUGAAAACCCAAUUAAAAUAGUAUUAAACUGGUAUCGUAUCCAAACUCACAUUAUAUACAUAUUUUUUAUAAUUUUUAUAUUAUAUAUAAUAAUUUAUAUUUUAAUUUUUAAUAUAAUGAUCAAAUCAAUUUUUAUAUUCUUAACAUAAAAAAUUUAAACUUCUCUAUAAUUCAUCCAUUCAAAUUAAAUAUUCUAUCAUUCAUCUCUUAUUAUUAAAAAUAUUAUUAUUCUUUUAAAUAAAUAAACUAAAUUUUAAUUCUUAAAUUUAAGUAUAAUUAUUUAAUUUAUUUUAUGUAACGACCCGGAAACCGGACCACUACCGGCGCUAGGAUCCAAAUCGGCUUAAGGCAGCCGGAACCCGUAGCAAGCCUAACAUGCAUCCUGAGAACCUGUAUAAUCUCAUACAUGAUCAACAAACAUACAUAAAAACUGUAAACUUUUUUCUUUUUCUUUUCAUACAUUCUUUCAUAUACCAAACUCAACCUGAUCAUACCAUAACUAUACAUUGAUCCCUCUGUGGGAUCUCAUCAAUGCCCCAAUGGGCUACAUACAUAUGUUGAGUUGGUUUACAUCUGUGACAUAAAACAUCUAGGAUCAUAUAAUAAAAGGGACAACAUCAUAGGGUCAAGCACAUCUCUAAACCUCAAUCAUCAUCAUCAUUACAUAACAUACUAUACAAUACUCUUACAUCAUAUUACAAUUUUCAUGUCCACUACCUAUCUAUUACAAGCAUAAAACAUUACUCUUCUUGACUUCUCUGUCUAGCCCGUACCUGCAAACCUGGGGUUAGGGGAGAGGGGUGAGCUAAAAAGCCCAGUGAGCAGAAUAGUAAAAAUAUUGAAUUUAUAUUUCAUGCCUUCAUGAAAUGCAACAUAGCACAAACAAAUCACAUCAAUGAUGAACUUGUCACCAAUAGUCCUCUACAUAAUCCAAACAUGCCAGGGGCGUAGAAUGGGCCUCACUGGUCUUUCUCUUAACAUAUCAUAUCAUACAUAUCAUUCCAUAGUGCCAGGGGCGUAGAAUGGGUCUCACUGGUCUUUCUCUUUCUCUGUGCCAGGGGCGUAGAAUGGGCCUCACUGGUCUUUCCAUACCGUAUCAUCAUCAUGCUAUAACAUAUGAGGACUAAAGGAUCAUUCAAUAUUCAUCCACAUCAUCAUCAAGUUAUACAAUGCAACAUAUUCGUGAUUCUAAUGCAAACAACCUAGUACAUCUCAUGGCAUACGUGAUGCAUGUAUCAUGCUCAACAUUUAUUUAUUAGUUUGAAACUUAAGAAGUUAUUCCACUCACCUCUGGCUAGCUCUGACCAGACACUGGGGCAGCUGACUCACUGCUGGGGUCCUCGGUUCCUCGGGUCCGAACCUACACAGGUGGACUCAAAUGAGGGACCAAACAUACUGAAACAUAACUCUAAACUACUCCCCAAAAACCCCCUAAAACAUCAUAAAACAUUAAUGCAAAAACAUGCAAGAAAUGGCUGAACAGGGCACUUUCGGCGGCAGGUUCGGCGGCCGAAAGUCCCUCCAAAGCCGAAAGUCAGGCAGGUUCGGCGGCACCUUCGGCGGCCGAAACUCCCAGACAGAGACGAAACUCAUGCAUGUUUGGGGGCACCUUCGGCGGCCGAAACUGCCCGACAGAGCCGAAACUCCUCUUUCGGGGGCAAGCUUCGGCAGCCGAAUGCUGCCUCCACAAGAGGGUUCGGCGGCCGAAAGUCCCCUUCGGCAGCCGAACCUGGUUUCUCCCAAAAGGGCAGAAACUCUGCUCAACAUGCACAAAUGCCUCCCAACUCCUCCAUCAUGCACAAACCUAUGCUACAACACUCCCAAACAUGCAUAUAAGCUCCUAGGGGCUCCAAACUAUCCUAAGCCCCAACUACAACACAACAAACAUGCAUAUCACAAGCCACAUUGUACAAAAUCAUGCAUAAAACCCAUAAACUCUACUUAAGCUUACUCAUGCAUUUCUACCCCAUGAACUUGCAUAAAACUUGUUUAAAACAUAAAAUGAACUUAAGAUCGGCUCUUACCUCUUGAAGAUCGAGAAUGAGUCGACUUAAACUCGGAGAUGGGAGAUCUUUAUCUUCCUUGGGUCUCCAAGCUCAAAACUUGCUUAAAAUCGUCAAAUACCUUCAAAUCGACAAAAACAUUGUUAAAAACGAAAGAUCUGAAGGAAAAGCAUUGAAAACAACCUUAGGAGGGCAUAAGCUCACCGUGGCCGAAAAUGGGGAGAAAACUCGCCCGUUUCGGCCAUGGAACUCAUAUAUAGGGGCUGCCAGACCACCUUUCGGCUGCCGAACGUGCCCCCACAUCUCAUGCAUGUUCGGCGGCCGAACAUGAGGUUCGGCGGCCGAACCUUUAAAACUUUCGGAAGCCUAACUUACCCUCCAAAACCAUCCCAUGUUCGGCGGCCGAACUUGGGGUUCGGCGGCGAAACCUGGAAAAGUCUCCUUAGUCUUUUUCAUACAAAACUCAGUUUCCUUUUUAUUUAAAAACAUUAAAUACAUGAAAAACAUUUGUGAAAACAUGAUUCUACCCUUCUAGAGGUCUCUGACAUCCAAAUUCCACCGGACGGUAGGAAUUCCAGUACCGGAAUCUAGCCGGAUAUUACAUUUUAAUAUUUUUAAAAUUAAACAUUUAAAUAUCUUUAUAAUUAAACUUUUCAUAUAUUUAUUUUUAUUAAAAAUAUAAAAAUAUUUUUAUUAUUUUUUAAAUUAAAAAUAUUAAUAAAUUAGAUUUCAUUCAUUUCACUCAUUUAUUAAAAUUUAAAUAGCUAAAUUUAUUUUUUAUUUUUUAUUUGAUAUAAUACUUAAAAUUAAAUUUUAUCUAAAUUAUCACAUUCAAUUAAUUUUUAAUAUUUUUACUAUUUAAUUUCUAUUCAUUAAAAUAUUUUAAUAUUAAAUAAUUUCAAAAUUUUUAAAAGUAUUUAUAAAUUUAAUAAUUUUUAAAUUGUAUUAUAUAUUUAUAAAUAAUAAACUUUACGCCGUAUUCUUAGAGAAAAAAAAUUAUAUUUUUAGAAAUUUGAUAAUAAAGUAGCUUUUAACUAAUAUAUAUAAUGUUUAAAAAAAUUGAAUAUAAAAAAUUUACAAUUUUAGUUUUAAAAAUAUAAGAUUAAUUUAUUAAUUAUAUUUAAAAUUUAGAUAUAAAAUUAUAAUUUAUGCCAUAUAAAUAAUUUUAUCUACAUUAUUAUAUUUAUUAAAUUAUUUUAAAUAUUUAUUUUUUAAUUUAUUAAUUGAUAUAUUUUUUAAAAUUAAUAAAUUUUUUAUAUAAAUAAAAACCUACAUAAUAUAUUAGAUUCAAAUCCCAACAAGUCAAGAUACGACUAACAAGAGAGAUGGGCCCGCUGGCUAUGGAUGAGUAAAGACUGGUGAAUACUGAAUAGAAGGGUAUGUAAGAGUUGACCGGCGAUGACUGCUUAUAGUUAUAUAAUUAAAUUAAGCGUGGGUAUUAAAUUUUUUUAUAUUAUUAUUAUAUAACAUUAUUUUAUAAAAUAAUAUUUUUUUAGUAUAAAUUUACUUCACUUGUUAAGAAAAAUAAAAUAUUUAUUUAAAAAUUUUAAAUUCAAAAUAAUAAUUAAAUACAAAUUUAUGCACUAUAAAUCUCAAUUGUAACAAAUAAAAUUAAAAAUUUCAAUAAAUAAUAUAUAUUAAUAAAUUUAUUCAACAAAUUAUAUUUUAAAAAAAAUAAAGUUUAUUAAAUUGAAUAAAUCUCAAUUAUAGCAAAUAAAGUUUAUAAAUGGAAUAGAGAAUGAAAGAAUUAUUUUAUUGAUAAGAAAAAAAUAUAAAAUAUUUUAAUAAAUUUUUAAAAAUUUAUGGACUGACUUAUUAAUAAUGAUAAUAUUUAAAAAUUAAAUUAUAAUUUUUUUAUAAUUAUUACACUUAUUAAUAAUAUAAAAUAAAAUAAAUUUCAUUUAAACAAUUAAGUUCAUUUUUCAUUUGAAAAAAUAUUUAAAUUCUCAUUAAACUUUGUUUAACCUAUCACAUUCAAUUAAUUACUAUUUAAUUUUUAUUUAUUAAAAUAUUUUAAUAUCAUAUAACUUCAAAAUUUAAAAAAAAAAUUAUAAAUUUAAUAUUUUUAAAUGGUAUCAAAUAUUUAUAGAUUAUAGACUUUAUACUAUAUUUUAAAAAAAAAUUAUAUUUUCAAAAGUUUGUUCAUUUAGUAAUUUUUAAUUAAUAUUUAUAAUAAAUAAAAAAAUUAUAAUUUUAGAUAAAUUAAAUAUAAAAAAUUUAAGAGUUUAAUUUUAAAAAAUAUAAAAAUUAAUCUAUUAAUUAUUAAAAUUUAAAUAUAAAAUUAUAAUUUAUAUAAUAUAAAAAAAUUUAUCCAUGUUACUUUAUUUAUUAAGUUAUUUUAACUUGUGAACUAAUAUGGAUAGAAAAAUAAUAGAACCACCUCUGAUUUGAGAGCAGAGAAUUAAUGGAGUUGACGAGCGAUGACUUGAUUGCAAUUUCCAGCCAAGGAAUUAAAUUGCUUUGUCCUUUGCUUUUAUAAAGUAAGGCCCAUUGCACGUCAAUAUUCUAAAUUUAUUUUAAAUAAAUUAAUAAUUUUUUUUUAAAUUAUAAAAAUUAAAUAAUAAAAUUUUUAAAAACAAAAAUUAAUAGAAUAAAUAAUCAGUAAAUAUUUUAAAAUAUUAUAAUAUUUUUAUAUAUUUUUUAAAAUUAAAAAAUUUCUUUAUAGCAUAAAGAAUAAAUAUUAAUUUUUAUUUUAAUUUGACAUUGACUCGAUCAUGAAAUUUUUGUUUUUAUCGGUACUAAAUACAUAAAUUAUAAUUUAAUUUAUUUUAAUUUUAGUUUGUUUGGUGUCAGUCAAUCGACACAUACAAAAUUUAAAAAUUUCACUCAUAUUAUUAUAUUUAUCAAAUUAUUUUAAAUGUUUAAAAUAUUUAUUUUUAAAUUUAUUAAUUAAUAUAAUUAUGGAUGUAAAAAAUCUCUAAAAUUAUAGAGGACCUCUGAUUUGAGAGCAGAAUAGAGAUAGGAAGCAGAGAAAUGAAGAACACAAGUGUGAGAGGGUGAAUAGAGGUUAGGUAGGAGUUGACGAGUGAUGACUUGAUUGCAAUUUGCAGAAAAAGAAUUAAAUUGCUUUGUCCUUUGCUUUUAUUUUUUAAUAAAUAAAAUCAAAAAUUUUAUAAAAUAGUAAUAAUAUUUUAAAGGGAGAUUUAUAAUUUAAUUUCUAGAUAUUAUUAUUAUUAAUAAAUCAAUAUUUAUAUUUUUAAAAAUUUAUUAAAAUAUUUUUAUAUUUUCUUUUUCGUCGAUAAAAUGGUCAUUCCGUCCUCUAUUAAAAUAUUUUUAUAUUUUCUUUUCCAUCAAUAAAAUAGUCAUUCCGUCCUCUUUUCCGUUAAAAUUAGAUAAAAGGUAAGAGAUAAAAUUUUUAAAUUCCAAUUUUAUCCUCAAAUAAAAUAUUUUAUUUAAUUCUUAUCGUUUCUUUUCGUCAACGAAAUAAUUCCUAUAUUUUUUACAUCUAUUAAAACGUUCUUAUCGUUUCUUUUCGUCAACGAAAUAGCUCUUCCUCUCUCGACCUUCUCCUCUCCACCUCCUCCUCCUUCCUCCUCUUCCUCCUCUUCCUCCUCCUCCUCAUUAUCAUCAUCAUUAAAAAAGAAAAAAAAAAGAAAAUGAUGAUGAUAAUGAUGAAGGAGAAGAAGAAAAAGAAGAAGGAGAAGGAGAAGAAGAAAAAGAAGAAGGAGAAGGAGAAGAAGCAGAAGUGAAGAAAAAGCAGAAGAAGCAGAAGUAGAAGUGAAGAAUCGAAAAAGAAAGAGGAAGAAUCGAUGAAGAAGAAAGAGGAGGAGAAAAAGGAAAAGAAGGAGGACAAUUUGGUCUUUUAAUAUAUUUUUAACUGCAAAAAUAAAUAGAAUGACUAUUUCGUUGACGGAUAAAAAAGAUAAGUACGUUUUAAUAGAUUUCUAAAAAUACAGAGACUUGACUGAUUAAUAAUGCCAAUAUCCAAGAACUAAAUUAUACAUCUCCCUAAUUUAAAUUUAAUAUAUCAUAUUUUCUUCCACACCUUAUAUAUAUUGGAUCAUUAAUUAUGGACUGCAUCAUCUCUCACAAAUCCUGAAAUUUUCCUUUAAUUUCUUCAUUUUCAUCUUUGCUCAUUUUCAGUUUUUUUCUUUCUAUCGAUGGCUGAACAAAUCCCAUUUAGCAUUGCGGAAAACUUACUAAUAAAGUUGGCCUCAAUUGCUUCUGAAGAAGUUAGUUUGGUGUAUGGCUUCAAAAAGGAUCUUAGGAAGCUUCAAACUACUCUCUCCACCAUCAAAGCAAUACUUGUGGAUGCUGAGGAGAAGCAAGAGGAGAGCCUUGCAGUGAAGAACUGGGUAAGGAGGCUUAGAGAGGUUGUCUAUGAUGCAGAUGACUUGUUCGAUGAUUUUGCAACUGAAGGUUUGAGAAGGAAGGCUGAAGGUGAGGGAAGAAUGGUUAGGAAGGUAUGCGACUUCUUUUCUUCCUCCAAUCAAAUUGCAUUUCGUUUCAAGAUGGGUCAUAGUAUUAAAGAUAUUAGAGAGAGGCUGGAUGAAAUCGCCAAAGAAAUAUCUGACUUUGGCUUUAUAAUUAGGAAGGAAGUUGGAGUAUGUAUGGGAAUAAAGAAUAGUUGGAGGGAGACAGAUUCCUUUGUAUUGAAAUCAGAAAUUGUAGGAAGAGAUGAAGAUAAGGAGAAGAUCAUAGAAUCAUUGAUGUGUCCAGUCAAUCAAAGCAAUAUUUCUGUAGUUGCAAUUGUAGGGUUUGGUGGCUUAGGAAAGACUGCACUUGCCCAAUUAGUGUUUAAUGAUGAGAAAGUGGUGAAUUAUUUUGAUUUGAAGUUAUGGGUAUGUGUUUCUGAGGAGUCAAAUGUUGAAACACUAGUUAAACUCAUCCUUAAAAGUGCAAGCAAUAAUGAAGUGCCCAACUUGUCUUUGGAACAGUUACAGAUUCGCCUUAGACAAUGUUUAGAAGGCAAAAAGUACUUGUUGGUGUUGGAUGAUGUGUGGAAUGUAAACAAUAGGAUUUGGAGUCACUUGAGGAAAUAUUUGAUGGUUGGUGCCAUUGGGAGUAGAAUUUUAGUAACUAGUCGUAGUAAGAGGGUUGCUUUAGCUAUGGGUGUAGACUCUCCAUAUGCUUUACAGGGUCUUACUGAAGAUCAAUCAUGGGAGCUAUUUGAGAAGCUAACAUUUAGAGAGGGAACAGGAAGAGUGAAUUCAAAUCUAAUAGAAAUUGGAAAAGAAAUGGCAAAGAAAUGCAAAGGAGUUCCACUUGCAAUUAAAGCUAUAGGAGGCAUAAUGCAACUAAGAAGUAGUGAAAGUGAAUGGUUGUCUGUCCUAGAAAAUGAGUUGUGGAAGGUAUUCGAGAGUGAUGGUGAUAUUAGUCAAGUGUUGAAAUUGAGUUAUGAUGUCUUACCAUACCAUUUAAAGCAGUGUUUUGCAUAUUGCGCAAUGUUUCCAAAAGAUUUUGCGUUUGUUAAGGAUAAAUUAAUUCAGUUGUGGAUGGCACAAGGCUAUGUUCAAUCUCAAAGUCAAAGUGAAAAUGAAAAUUUAGAGGAGAUUGGGGAAGGAUACUUCAAUGAAUUGUUAUUUAGGUCAUUUUUCCAAAAGGAUGAGUAUUGUUAUAAAAUGCAUGACCUUAUCCAUGACCUUGCACAGUCAAUAGCAGGGGAUAGUUGUUUUGCAGUUGAUGAUAAUACUAAACAUAUUCCUGAUAGAGUCCAACAUGUGUUCUCUGGAAAUUUGUCUUUUGAGGAAUGCUUCAGGCAGCUAAAAAAUAAAGGAUUGAGGACACUGUAUUGUCCAUAUAUUGGUGAUGGAUUAAGGUUGAAUUUAGAUAGUAUCUUUUCAAAUUGUAGGAGCAUACGUGCUUUGAGUUUUGGAUGGAAUAUCAAUGGAUUGCCAGAUUCAAUUGGAAAGUUGAAACACCUGAGGUAUCUUGAAUUUUUUAGUUCUAAUAUCAGUUCACUUCCAAACUGCAUUUGCAGCUUGUAUAAUUUGCAAACUCUAAUACUCUGGGAAUGUCGGAUUCUUAAAGAAUUACCUACAGACAUGAGGAAAUUGAUUUGUCUCGGACAACUUAUUAAUAAGGGUUGUGGUAGCCUUGAAUUCAUGCCAUUGGGGUUGGGGAGAUUGACAAAUCUGCAGACUUUGUCAACUUUUGUUGUGGGAAGUGAUCAAGGAAGGAGAUGUUCCUCAUUGAAUGAGUUGAAUAGCUUAAACCGGCUGCGAGGUGAAAUCUGCAUUAAAGGACUAGGAAAUGUGAAAAAUGCGGCUUUGGAGUCCAACCUAGUAAAUUUCAAGGAAAAGAAACACCUUCAGUGCUUAAGAUUAACCUGGGAUGGCAAGGGAUAUAGCAAUAGCGGAAAUAGUGAGUUGUUGUUGGAUAACCUACAACCUCACCCGAAUUUGAAAGAAUUGAAUGUUAUGUGCUAUGAAGGCGUGAGGUUUUCAAAUUGGCUUUCUUCUAUCACAAAUCUCGUCAAUAUUACUUUAUAUAAAUGUCCGAAAUGUGAGCAUUUGCCGCCAUUGGACAAUCUGCCUUAUCUGGAAAUUCUCAAUCUUAGCUAUUUCCAUUCUCUGGAGUACAUAUCAGAUGAAGAUAAUUUAUUCUCUUCUUUAUCUGCAUCAACAACAUCAUUCUUUCCAUCUCUAAAUAUUCUUAAACUCGAAUCUUGCCCUAAUCUGAAAGGGUGGUGGAGAACAUUUAUGGAAGCAAAGAUGGUGCCUCAAUUUCCUUGUCUUUCUACAUUAACCAUCUCUAAUUGCCCUAACCUGACUUUGAUGCCAAUGUUUCCAUCACUAGACAUGGGGCUUCAUCUUGCCUAUGCCCACAUAAGACCAUUCCAUUAUACAUUGCAGAUGUCUGCAACGGCUUCUGCAGUACCAUCAACCUCUUCUUCAGUUACUUCUCCUUUUUCCAAAUUAAAGACUUUGUGGUUACAGGGUAUUGAGAAUCUAGCAUCUCUACCUGGAGAGUGGAUGCAGAACCUCAGCUUCCUUGAGGAACUAUUUCUUAGCUACUGCAUGGAAAUUAGUGAUGAGGAUGAGCGUGGCAUAUUCAAAUGGAGAUAUCUUGUUAGUCUCCGAAAUCUCUCUCUCUCUAAUCUUUCAAAUCUGUUGUCUCUACCAAGGGAGCUUCAAUAUGUUACCACCUUGCAACGUCUUACUAUCCGCGAAUGUUCUAAUUUGAGGGCUUUGCCUGAAUGGAUAGGCAACCUCACAGCACUCCAAAAUCUAUGUAUCAAUGUCUGCCCUAAACUGGAAUCGCUACCAAGAGGGCUGCGUCAAAUCACCACUUUACAACAGUUGAAUGUUACCCUUUGCCCCCAUUUGUCUGAGAGAUGCACACACAAUAUGGCUGCAGAUUGGCCCAACAUUUCUCACAUCCUAAAUAUCCAUAUAAAUGGAAAUCAUAUUCAAAAGGAGGGCCGGUAUUUAUUGUAAGAAGAAGGAUCCUCUGCUUUCACAGGUUAGGACUUUCUUCGCUUCAUCCCUUCUUUUUUUUAUAUUUUAUUUUAAAUGAAAUCACCUAAUUUUUUCAAACAAAUACUUCUAUCCAGUAGGCUACUCUAUUCUGUCUUCACCUUAUCUAAGUUAACUUACUUUUCUGAUUCUAUAUGCAGAGAUGCUGGAAUAUAUGUUGCUCUUAUACACCGCCAACCUUUGUCAAAUUUUAGAAUGGCUCUAAUGAUGACAGGUGGAUAACAAAACUAAAAAAAUCAAAUACCAUGUUAUUUUUAUCAGUAAAUCACAUUUAUGAACUUUAUUUUUCUCACAGUUUCACCUUCUUGUUACCCUUUAGCAUCUGAAGAAUAUUUUAUCCUCAAUCAAAUACUAUGUUAUACAACUCUUGAUUCUUCCAAUUCUGAACACAAAUUAUGUCUGCAGGCAAUAGAAGCAAAUGAGGUUUGUGGUGUGGCAGAUGAUUUCUGGAUGUUGUAAUUGACUCAUUGACUAUUAUACAGGUUCUUAUCUCUUAACCAGUUUUUUGGGAUUUUAUAUUUUUUAAAAAAUUUUUGCCAUAUUUUAUUAUUCUUUUAAUAUUGCCGUAAUUUAGCAAUUACCUUUUUUAUUUUGUCUUAUAUGCAGAACUGGAAGGAUGUGGAUAACUUGAAUUAACUCUUGGAAUAGACAUUUGAAUUAAUUUUGCAUUUUUGGAAGCAAUGGGAAUUUGCAUUCUGUAUCUAAAAGUCAAUUGCUCUCCAACUUACUUUGCAUCGUCGCUACUCCUCUGAGAAUGGAGAAGCAAGCCACUCCAAGCAAGGUCUAGGAUCAGAGCAGCAGAUCCUGGAGCCUCAAGGACUGGUAUCUUUCAAGAGUCAACAAGUGUGGUUCUGUGAUAUAAGCAGGGCUUGAAGUAUGUUGAUACCUGGUAUAUUUGCAAUCAUUGUUCUAUCUUGAUAGUGAAUUUUCUGAAUUUAAUUGCAAUAUGUUCAUGUGUUAAUCCUUGCAGGCUACCAAGCAUGCAAUUGAUUUUAAGCAAAGGUUGGAUCUCGUGUUUAAUUUGUUGUUUUAUAAUAAUUUGAAUGUUUUGAAAGUUAUCAAAGCAUCUUCUGUUUUGGUCUCUCCUGAAUUGUUUGAAAAUAAAGUAAUGGCUCCAUGAAUUCCUAGAUUCUUUGAAAGUGAGAUGGAUCCCAAGUGUCUUAGAGGAGGAGUGGAGGAAAUAAUCGGUGCUGUGAAUUCACUUGUUCUUCUUUCAUAGUAGGCAGCUUUUGGCUCAGCCGUGGAGAAAUGGUCUGCUGUCGUGACAAAAAAUGGCUUCAGAAUAGGCAAUGGUAAAUAUCAUAUGACCUUGUGAAUAGUGGUUUAAAAACAAUUUAGAAGAUUUUGGAAGAGAACUAAUACUCUUUGACAGAUUUACAGGUGAAGAUGGUAAUGAUACUUGCAAAUUCAGUUUGCUUUGAAAGAAUAUGCAUUGGUUGUGGGGGAUGAAGAAUCCUGAACUUUUUUAAUCUUUCAUUGAGUGGACAGACAUCGUUUAAGGUUGCAAAUCUAAGAGCUGCUCUUUUCUUGUUCUUUUCACAAGUGUCUUCAUUAGUGAGCAUCCAUAAACAGUACUGAGCUAUUUCACUUGUGGCAACUACCAAUGAGAAAGCAGAAAGCUUAUACUCUCUCUAUCCAUGUGCUAAUCCUUGUAGGCAAUCAACAGAUACUGGAACCUCAACAACUUCCUCUGGGAGAACGAAGCAGA